UCUACAUGGAGCUCAAAUCCUCUCCUCAGCCAUACCUGGUGCCUUUUCUGAAGGUAAGGCACAUUUGCCUAAAUUUAAAAUGAAUUUGGUCUUGAGGAUACAAUAUUCAGAACCUUGUCUUCUUGUGUACUUCAGAGGAGUCUACCUGCUGUUCGUCAGCUAACCCCAAACUCACAGCUCUUUAUCCAGCAGUGUGACCAGCCAAAACCCCCUUCUACUACUACUACUACUACUACUACUUCAGCAGUCUGCACCACCAGCCAAAAACACAGUGUCCCGUCCUCUACUGUCUCUACUGUCUCACAGACUCUUAGAGGCAGUGUUUCAGUAAGGUCCACUCCUCCGGUGAUCCAGCAAUCCAAAGGAGCGUCUGUCAAGCAGUCUGUGAUUUCCUCGUCCCGUGCUGACUUGGCUGUACAGAAGCCUAGGCAGCUGGUCAUUCAGACUAACACACAGCCUGCAGGGGCUUUUGGGAAGCAGGACUCCCUGCAGGCAUCUAAAACCCCCUCUUCUGUUCCACCUCCAGCCACACGUGCACACAGCUUCAAGGACAGCACCCCGGGCUCUUUCCGGUAAUGACUCUGACACCCUGCUACUUUGCUUCACUGUGGUGUGUGUGUGUGUCACUGUGUUUU
rnacentral:lncRNA from 1 species